UGACCUCGGAUCAGGUAGGGAUACCCGCUGAACUUAAGCAUAUCAAUAAGCGGAGGAAAAGAAACCAACAGGGAUUGCCUUAGUAACGGCGAGUGAAGCGGCAAAAGCUCAAAUUUGAAAUCUGGCACCUUUGGUGUCCGAAUUGUACUUUGGAGAGGCAUCUUCUGGAGGGGCCCGGCCUAUGUGCCUUGGAACAGGACGUCAUAGAGGGUGAGAAUCCCGUCCUUGGCUGGAUGUUCCCUCCUGUAAGUAGUGUCUUCUACGAGUCGAGUUGUUUGGGAAUGCAGCUCAAAAUGGGUGGUAAAUUUCAUCUAAAGCUAAAUAUUGGCGAGAGACCGAUAGCGCACAAGUAGAGUGAUCGAAAGAUGAAAAGCACUUUGAAAAUAGAGUCAAAAAGUACGUGAAAUUGUUGAAAGGGAAGCGCUUGAGACCAGAGUCAGCCUUUGGCAAACAACUAUCCUUCUGGAUGGUGCACUUGUCAUUGGUUUGGGCCAGCAUCGGUUGGGACGGCAGGAUAAAGGCCCAGGGAAUGUGACUCCUUUAUGGAGUGUUAUAGCCCCAGGCGGCAUGCUGUCAGCCCCGACCGUGGACCGCGCCUCGGCUCGGAUGCUGGCUUAAUGGUCUUCAGCGACCCGUCUUGAAACACGGACCAA
rnacentral:rRNA from 1 species